GCGAAGGGGUGACGGAGCAGGGUAGGUCAGCCGGCCGUUGGUCGUGCCGGUUCCAAGCGUGUAGGCGUUGAGAGUGGGGUUAAAAGACCACUUGAGCUGAGGCGUGACGGUGAGCCCCGCAAGGGCGGUAGUGACUGAGCCCAUACUUCCAAGAAAAGCCUCUAGUUAGACCUGCGUGACCGUACCGCAAACCGACACAGGUGGAUGGGUAGAGAAUACCAAGGGGAUCGGGAGAAUCUCUGUUAAGGAAUUAGGCAAAUUAGAUCCGUAACUUCGGGAAAAGGAUCGCCCCAUUAGCGUGACGACGACAAGCUUGUCUGAGCGUGAAGGGGCCGCAGAGAAAUGGCUCUAGCGACUGGUUACCAGAACCACAGGUCUGUGCUAAGUCGAAAGACGACGUAUACGGGCUGACGCCUGCCCAGUGCCGGAAGGUUAAGGGGAGCGGUGCAAGCUGCGAACUGAAGCCCCGGUGAACGGCGGCCGUAACUAUAACGGUCCUAAGGUAGCGAAAUUCCUUGUCGGUAAGUUCCGACCCGCACGAAUGGCGUAACG
rnacentral:rRNA from 1 species